GCAGAAGGAUCAUUAGUGAAGAUUCAAGGGCCAGCCAUACGGACGCCAAAAAGUGUCCCUGGCCGCCUACACCCACUAUACAUCCACAAACCCGUGUGCACUGUCUUGGAGAAAGGCUUCAGAGAAGUUUUUUGUGGCCUCUCUUGGGGUCUUUCUUCGCUACAAACUCGAAUGGUUAGUAUGAACGUGGAACUUGGUUGGACCGUCACUGGCCAACAAACUAUACACAACUUUCGACAACGGAUCUCUUGGUUCUCCCA
rnacentral:misc_RNA from 1 species